AAAAAAAGUAGAAAAACACUUGAAAGAAAAAAAGAAUAGGUAAAAUAAGGGUUUCUUCCCUCUUCUGCUCGACGUUCUCACUCUUCUCUUUUGCUCGCUUCAUUCUCUUCUUCACGGAACUUUGAUUUUCGUUUCUAAACAGAAUCAUCAGAACCAUAACAAAGGCGAUGACAAGGAAGAGAAAAUUGAAUAUUGGGAGUCGUAAGUCAAAAGACUCAAACCCCAUCUCAUCCUAAGGAAGUAAUGCUCAAGAAACUCAUCCAACCUCAUCUCAUGCCCAAGGAAUUAAUGUUGAAGAAACUCAUUCAACCUCAUUUCAUGUCUAAGGAAGUAAUGUUGAAGAAACAAGGCCUAAUCCACGUCAUGUGGAAGUUGGCAUACAUGAGUCUGAAGAUUCUUACUCUAUUCCUUCUGAUGUGGAAGCAGAAGAAGACCUACAAAUUAAUAAAGUGAGGAUGAUUUGAAACUAUGAAGGAGUUGUGAUACUGGAGGUGAUUUGAAAGAUGGUGUAUGAAGGAGGAUGCAUGAAAGUUUCUGUUUCGUUCAAAUUAUGAUGGUGUUUUCGGAAGUAUACUUCCAAAACCCCCAAAAAUGGGUGUUUUCGGAAAUGCAUCUCCGAAAACACUCCCCAUUUGAUGUUUUCGGAAGUGCAUUUCCGAAUUCCUGAGAAAAUUUUGAAAAAAAAUUACUUCUGAAAUGUAUUUUCGAAGUAGAGGUAUUUAGGGGUUUUCGCUGGGGGUCACCCCAUAGGGGGGUUAGGAAAGAAAUUCUCUUAAUUAAAUAGUUGAAACUAGGGGUGACAAACGAACAUGUCCGCUCCGCAAAAAUCCGCAAGAAAAAUGGGCGGGACGGUCAGAGUAAAGAGUGCGGGCCUAAAAUCUUGACUCGUCCCCCAAAAAAGUGAGGGUCGGGCGAGCUAAGCCUAUGGGCACUACACUUUUUAAGCCUAAAAAUGCAAAAUUUAUGUAAAUGUCUAUGUCCGCAAAAGCCUGCAUAAAAAUAGGGCGGGGUGGAGCGGUCACACUAGAGGGUGAGGGCCUAAAACUUUGACCCGCCACGCACAAAAGUGCGGGAAAAACGGGCAUGUUCAACGGGCCUGACCCGUUUUGCCACCCUUGGUUGAAAUAAUCCCAGUGACUUUUCUCUUUAAUUUAUUUAAAAAACACAUAAAUAAUAUAUCUUUGUUUCACCACUAUUUCAGGUUCUAUUCUCCAUACGGUAUUGUUCCUUUCCUCCACUGUUUUGAUCGCCAUUGCCCUCGUCGUACAAAUUGGUGCCACUUAUUUCUUUUCUCUUCCUUGAUACGUUGUGUUUCUCAUUACUUUUCUUUUUCCUCUUUGCAUUACGUACAUCACACACUGUCAUCACUCAGUGUUGUAAUGAGAAAUCGAUUUCUCACAAUUUUGCCACUGAUUAAAAUCGAUUUCUCAUUACAACACUGAGUGAUGUACGUAAUGCAAAGAGGAAAAGUAAUGAGAAACAUAAUAAAUCAAAUUUAAUCCUAAAAAAUAAAAAAGAUAAACAAAACACUAAAACUAACAAAUUUUGCACAAAAAUGCCUUGUUGAAAUUUGCAAUUCCUAGCAACGGCGCCAAAAAGCUUGAUGGCUUCUCAACAAGUCUACCGAUGGUGUUGAAGUAAUAAAAAUAAGAUCGUAUCGGCAGGGGCUUCUAUUUAACAAAACAAAAGUUGUGCAAGUUCAA